rnacentral:rRNA from 1 species
CCUACGGGAGGCAGCAGUGAGGAAUAUUGGUCAAUGGGCGGAAGCCUGAACCAGCAAAGUAGCGUGCAGGAUGACGGCCCUAAGGGUUGUAAACUGCUUUUAUACGGGAAUAACGCGCCUUGCGUGGAGGGAUGUGCAUGUACGGUAUGAAUAAGGACCGGGUAAUUCGGUGCCAGCAGCCGCGGUAAUACGGAGGGGCCGGGCGUUAUCCGGAUUGAUUGGGUGGAAAGGGGGCGUAGGCGGCAUGUCAAACGUGAUGUGAAAUGUCCGGGCUCAACCCGGGCCUUGCAGCGCGAACUGGCGUGCUUGAGUCCGCGGAAGGCAGGCGGAAUUCUUCGUGUAGCGGUGAAAUGCUUAGAUAUGACGAAGAACCCCGAUUGCGAAGGCAGCUUGCUGCAGCGGAACUGACGCUGAUGCUCGAAAGCGCGGGUAUCGAACAGAAUUAGAUACCCCUGUAGUC